rnacentral:lncRNA from 1 species
UUACAGUUUAUCUCUAUCUAUAAUAAUAUUCAAGAUAAUAACCAAAAACAGAAAAAUUUCCUUAAAAUUACCAAUUCAGGGGCAGCAACCCAACAACGGGUUGCCCAAUUCAUCUGAAAAUUUCAGUGCAGAUAGAUCUUGACCUGAUAAACAAUUUUACCCUGUCAGAUUUGCUCUAAAUGCUUUGUUUUUUGAGUUAUAAGCCAAAAACUGCAUUUUACCCCUAUGUUCUAUUUUUAGCAAUGGCGGUCAUUUUGGUUGGUUGGCCGGGUCACCGGACACAUUUUUUAAACUAAAUACCCCAAUGAUGGUUGUGGCCAAGUUUGGUUAAAUUUGGCCCAGUAGUUUCAGAGGAGAAGAUUUUUG